UUGUUUGGAUGAAAAGUUAGUAGAACUGAAUUCUGCAGUUAGUGGUAAAAUUAAUUUCUGCUAUGCACUGCUGUUAAAAUGAUUGGCAAUGCUAUGAGUGAAUGUGUAGGGAGCAGUUCUAUUUUGGCCUGCUAUAAAAUGGUUGCUUGCAGGAUCGUAUAUGGCUCGCUUAAUGUUUGAUGCAUCGUUCUAUUUGGAUUAUUACAUUGCAUGAUGAAUGCGUAUGCAUGUAUAUUGUAUUGUGUGACUGAUGUUGUGAUGUGUCAUGAUAUUGUUGUGUAAAUGCCAAGUUGCUUCCCUUGGUUGGAUUGGCUAUAAAAUGAUGUCUGCUUGAACAAGGUUGACGCUUGUUAGAAUGUUAACAUAGUUUGUUGUGUAAAUGUCAAGUUGCUUGGUAAUGUUUGAAUGUUUAUGGUAUUGCAUCUUGAAUGAACUUAUGUGGUUGCUUGGUUAAUUGAUGUUUGGAAUUGGAUGUUGUAUGAUAUUGUAGGUGGAAAGAAACAUUAAUGAAAAGCCAAUGGAAUGCACUAUGUAAUAAAAAUUCAACUACUGAGCCAUUUAAGAUCUAACAACCAUGGCAUGUAAUUGUGAUGUAGUAGGACUGUUCAAUUGUAGUGAAAAUCUUUUGUACUCAACAUUUCUUAUCAAUUCAAAAUAUGGUGAGUGCAAGACUUGUUUGGGCUUGAGAUCAUGGAUCAUAAGACAUGUCUUGGAGACAUCAAGUGAAGUUUGGUCAUGAGGUUAAAAGAAAGGGAUGAAAGCAUGAGGAAAUAAAGUGGGAACUGGGAUUUAGGGUUGAUGAUUAGAUGAGUUGACUUUGGUCAACUGGUUGACCAAAAAGUAAUUAGUUGACCAAAGUCAACUAUAGGUGAAAACCAAUUUUUUGUAAUUUCUUUAUAUUUUUGUAUGGACAAUGUAGAAAUGAUGUUGUAUGAAUAAAAAUGAAGUUUUAUGUAUGAGAAAAUGCUUUAUGAUCAAUGAAACAUGACUUGCAUUCAAAUUC
rnacentral:lncRNA from 1 species